rnacentral:rRNA from 1 species
GCAAGUCGAGCGCGAAAGCACUUCGGUGUGAGUAGAGCGGCGGACGGGUGAGUAACGCGUAGGAAUCUACCUGGUAGUGGGGGACAACUCGGGGAAACUCGAGCUAAUACCGCAUACGCCCUACGGGGGAAAGCGGGGGAUCUUCGGACCUCGCGCUAUCGGAUGAGCCUGCGUAGGAUUAGCUAGUUGGUGAGGUAAAGGCUCACCAAGGCGACGAUCCUUAGCUGGUCUGAGAGGAUGAUC